CCUACGGGGGGCAGCAGUGGGGAAUAUUGCACAAUGGGCGCAAGCCUGAUGCAGCCAUGCCGCGUGUGUGAAGAAGGCCUUCGGGUUGUAAAGCACUUUCAGCGGGGAGGAAGGCGUUAAGGUUAAUAACCUUGUCGAUUGACGUUACCCGCAGAAGAAGCACCGGCUAACUCCGUGCCAGCAGCCGCGGUAAUACGGAGGGUGCAAGCGUUAAUCGGAAUUACUGGGCGUAAAGCGCACGCAGGCGGUCUGUCAAGUCGGAUGUGAAAUCCCCGGGCUCAACCUGGGAACUGCAUUCGAAACUGGCAGGCUAGAGUCUUGUAGAGGGGGGUAGAAUUCCAGGUGUAGCGGUGAAAUGCGUAGAGAUCUGGAGGAAUACCGGUGGCGAAGGCGGCCCCCUGGACAAAGGCUGACGCUCAGGUGCGAAAGCGUGGGGAGCAAACAGGAUUAGAUACCCUUGUAGUC
rnacentral:rRNA from 1 species